rnacentral:snRNA from 1 species
AGAACGUAACGGUAGAAGAC